GCUGAUGCCCUGCAGAGGACAGAGGACAGGAGGACAGACAAACAUGAAGACAAGAAGACACAAUUCUUUCUAUCAUAGCUGCUCCAGCUCCUCUCAUCCUCAACUGUUUCCUCAAAGGAGGAGGAGGUAAAAAAACAACCUCCCAUCAUGCACUGCUCCUCCAUUAACAGCCCUCAUACACUGAGUGCCGUGACCACGGGGGAAAUGAAAAGGGUUGGUUUGGAGCUGAGAGGACUGAGGAGGUCAUUACGUGCUGCGAGGUCAUUGGACGACGAUACCACAGACCCCGCCCCCUUCUUGAUGAGAUGCUGCAGUCACACCACUGCUCCGUCUUUAAUUUCACACCUCAGCUGGACUGUGACUGACACACACACACACACACACACACACACAGACUGCAGUGAGGUCAUCGAUCACAGCAGCAGACCUUCAAACCUCACAGAGAAAACCAGUGAUUUUAGCUGCUGGUCCUCUGCUGCC